rnacentral:rRNA from 1 species
UACAGAGGUCUCAAGCGUUGUUCGGAUUCAUUGGGCGUAAAGGGUGUGUAGGUGGCGCCGUAAGUCGGGUGUGAAAUUUCGGAGCUUAACUCCGAAACUGCAUUCGAUACUGCGGUGCUUGAGGACUGGAGAGGAGACUGGAAUUCAUGGUGUAGCAGUGAAAUGCGUAGAGAUCAUGAGGAAGACCAGUGGCGAAGGCGGGUCUCUGGACAGUUCCUGACACUGAGACACGAAGGCCAGGGGGAGCAAAACGGG